AUCCAACUGACGAGUACCAAAUAGGACGAAACGGGCCUCCUGGAU
rnacentral:hammerhead_ribozyme from 1 species